UUGCAUAUCCAAUAGCGGAGGAAAGGAAACUAACAAGGAUUCCCCUAGUAACGGCGAGCGAAGCGGGAAGAGCUCAAAUUUGAAAUCUGGUGGCCUCAGGUCAUCCGAGUUGUAAUCUAUAGAAGUGUUUUCCGUGCUGGCCCAUGUACAAGUCCCUUGGAACAGGGCGUCAUAGAGGGUGAGAAUCCCGUCCUUGACAUGGACUACCAGUGCUCUGUGAUACACUUUCAACGAGUCGAGUUGUUUGGGAAUGCAGCUCAAAAUGGGUGGUAAAUUCCAUCUAAAGCUAAAUAUUGGCGAGAGACCGAUAGCGAACAAGUACCGUGAGGGAAAGAUGAAAAGCACUUUGGAAAGAGAGUUAAACAGUAUGUGAAAUUGUUGAAAGGGAAACGAUUGAAGUCAGUCGUGCUCAAUGGACUCAGCCGUUCUGCGGUGUAUUUCCAUUGGGUGGGGUCAACAUCAGUUUUGAUCGCUGGAUAAAGGCAGGAGGAAUGUAGCACCCCCGGGUGAACUUAUAGCCUCUUGUCACAUACAGUGGUUGGGACUGAGGAACGCAGCAUGCCUUUAUGGCCGGGAUUCGUCCACGUACAUGCUUAGGAUGUUGACAUAAUGGCUUUUAA
rnacentral:rRNA from 1 species